rnacentral:siRNA from 1 species
AGAGUAAGAUGGAUCUUGAUAAU